GGUCCUAUGUUAAACUAAGUCCCCCGCUGGCGGCAAUCUUGGAUAAUGGAUCGGCUACAAAGUAACAACACUUGGUCAGCACCACAUUAGGAUCAUUCAUGCCAUGUUUGAUUUCAUUCCAUUCAGUGGUUCUCUAAAAAAAGUCAUUUGUAUGCAUUUCCCAUUGGGUCCUAUGUUGAACUAAGUCCCACGCUGGCGGCCAUCUUGGAUGAUGGAUCGGCUACAAAGUUACAACACUUGGUCAGCACCACAUAAGGAACAUUCAUGCCAUGUUUGGUUUCAUUCCAUUCAGUGGUUCACUAGAAGAAGUCAUUUGUAUGCAUUUCCAAUAGGGUCCUAUGUUAAACUAAGUCCCCCGCUGGCGGCCAUCUUGCAUAAUGGAUCAGCUACAAAGUAACAACAAUUGGUCAGCACUCCAUAAGGAACAUUCAUGCAAUGUUUGGUUUCAUUCCAUUUAGUGGUUCUCUAGAAGAAGUCAUUUGUAUGCAUUUCCCAUAGGGUCCUAUGUUAAACUAAGUCCCCCGCUGGCGGCCAUCUUGGAUGAUGGAUC
rnacentral:lncRNA from 1 species